rnacentral:rRNA from 1 species
GCGAAGCGUAUUAGCGGAAGUUUUCGGAUGGAAGCGGAUAUGACUUAGCGGCGGACGGGUGAGUAACGCGUGGAUAACCUGCCUCAUACAGGGGGAUAACAGUUAGAAAUGACUGCUAAUACCGCAUAAGCGCACAGGACCGCAUGGUCCGGUGUGAAAAACUCCGGUGGUAUGGGAUGGAUCCGCGUCUGAUUAGCUGGUUGGUGAGGUAACGGCCCACCAAGGCGACGAUCAGUAGCCGACCUGAGAGGGUGGCCGGCCACAUUGGGACUGAGACACGGCCCAAACUCCUACGGGAGGCAGCAGUGGGGAAUAUUGCACAAUGGGGGAAACCCUGAUGCAGCAACGCCGCGUGAGUGAAGAAGUAUUUCGGUAUGUAAAGCUCUAUCAGCAGGGAAGAAGAAAGACGGUACCUGACUAAGAAGCCCCGGCUAACUACGUGCCAGCAGCCGCGGUAAUACGUAGGGGGCAAGCGUUAUCCGGAUUUACUGGGUGUAAAGGGAGCGUAGACGGCUGUGCAAGUCUGAAGUGAAAGCCCGUGGCUCAACCGCGGAACUGCUUUGGAAACUGUAUAGCUUGAGUACUGGAGAGGCAGGCGGAAUUCCUAGUGUAGCGGUGAAAUGCGUAGAUAUUAGAAGGAACACCAGUGGCGAAGGCGGCCUGCUGGACAGAAACUGACGUUGAGGCUCGAAAGCGUGGG